UACGUAGGGUGCAAGCGUUAAUCGGAAUUACUGGGCGUAAAGCGUGCGCAGGCGGUUUUGUAAGUCUGUCGUGAAAUCCCCGGGCUCAACCUGGGAAUGGCGAUGGAGACUGCAAGGCUAGAGUUUGGCAGAGGGGGGGUAGAAUUCCACGUGUAGCAGUGGAAAUGCGUAGAUAUGUGGAGGAACACCGAUGGCGAAGGCAGCCCCCUGGGUCAAAACUGACGCUCAUGCACGAAAGCGUGGGGAGCAAACAGG
rnacentral:rRNA from 1 species